rnacentral:rRNA from 1 species
AUUGAACGCUGGCGGCAUGCCUUACACAUGCAAGUCGAACGGCAGCACGGGAGCAAUCCUGGUGGCGAGUGGCGAACGGGUGAGUAAUAUAUCGGAACGUGCCCAGUCGUGGGGAUAACGUAGCGAAAGCUACGCUAAUACCGCAUACGAUCUAUGGAUGAAAGCGGGGGAUCGCAAGACCUCGCGCGAUUGGAGCGGCCGAUAUCAGAUUAGGUAGUUGGUGAGGUAAAGGCUCACCAAGCCGACGAUCUGUAGCUGGUCUGAGAGGACGACCAGCCACACUGGGACUGAGACACGGCCCAGACUCCUACGGGAGGCAGCAGUGGGGAAUUUUGGACAAUGGGCGCAAGCCUGAUCCAGCGAUGCCGCGUGCA